GAGACAUGUGAGGGGGGCGGUGUUUAACAUACAGUCCCGCCUACAGCCAUAUGGGGAAGGUAGAACAAUACUGUCUGGAUGUAUAUCAGAAACAUCUCUAUAAUUAACUGGUAACUAAAUAUAUAGAUAUAUUCUCAGACAUGGGAUAACUGCUGACCCUAAAUGUGUCAUCCCAAACCAAGUGGAAGAAAUAUUAGGAAAAUUGUGUAUUUUAUAUAUAUCUCCUCGUGCAGUUGACAGGGGCGGCUUAACAUCAGCGAGACCCCAAACAACUUGUCUCAACAUGCAUACAGUGGCUCACUUGUCGAACUUGUCUAGUUGUCCUACAAAUGUUGGUCCAGGUGAAGUACAG